AUGCGCUGGCGGCGCAGGCAAUCGAGGACGAGAACGCCGCCAGUUGCGCGUUCUACGCACCGCCGAUCAACUUUCGGUUGCGCAUGUGGCACGUGGACAGUGAUGGACCGUCCACGUCUAUCAUCGACCUCAUGUUCACCAGCACCGGUUACCCAUGUUCUACUCUUCGUCUCGAGAGACCGCACCUUCACGUCACGGGUCUCGAACCCCGCCGCCGCUCAUGAAGACGACAACUGGAGGACGUGGUCGCAUAUGCGGAAUACAAAUAAAGUGGGCGACGGCCGCCGCCAUAUGCUACAGCCGGUUUUUUACUGA
rnacentral:rRNA from 1 species